GGCAUUUGAUAUGAUUUUAUUGUUUUAUAAUUUGUGAUUUGCAAGUUUCAGUAGUCAGGAGAUUUCUUUUGCCUCCCCUUCUCCCUGCAAGAGCCUUCCCCGCAAUCCGGAUAGGCUGUCUCAUGAUGCCUGGUGGUAUCUUGUCUCAUCAUUGAAAUAAUUCAUAUGUUUUGCCUAAGAUCUAGAUGACAACCACAUUUUAUUUAUUUUAUUUUAUUUUGCCAAAAUAGCCAUUAUCAAACCAGAUAAACAUACCGGCCAUAAAACAGCAAUGAAUAAUCUUAUAGCAGGUGAUAAGAAAAUAAACUCCUCUGUACAGUUUGAUCUUUUUAUAUAGGAGAUUCCUAAGCAUUAUAUAGUUAUUUAAGUCUCAGUCUUGUACUCAGAUGCUUCUUUAAAAAAAAUUCCAGAAUGAAUUUGGAGAGUAUAGGCUGGGAUGGAAGGGAUACCUCCAAAACUCAGAACAUCAAGUUGAAUCGUAGGAAGAUGCAGGCUUUCUCCCAGACCCACAGAACAGGGGCCACUCUGUGACUAACUAUGCUAAAUAAAUAUUCAGUAGCCCAGCUAGAGAGACCAUGUGUCCACAGAAAGGAUAUGGUCAAAACAGAAAAUAGGGUUCGAAGAAGCAGAAUUUGUUCCUGGGAAAAACACUGAUUACUUUUUUUGUUUUGUUUUGUUUUCCCGCCCAGGCUGGAGUGCGGUGGCAAAAUCUUCGCUUACUUCAGUCUUGACCUCCCAGGCUCAAGCAAUCCUCCCGCCUCAGCCACCUGAGUAGCUGGGACCACAGGCAUGCACCACCACGCCUGGCUAAUUUUUGUAUUUUUAGCAGAGAUGGAGUUUCACCAUGUUGCCCAGGCUGGUCUCUAACUCCUGAGCUCAAGUGACUCGCCCUCCUCGGCCUCCCAAAGUGCUGGGAUUCCAUACGUGAGCCGCCGUGUCUGGCCUUGAUGACUUCUUAAUGGAUAUCUCCGUCCCUAUUGCCCUUUUGAGCUUGAUUCAUGUUUAAGAUGAGUUAAACUAACAUUUCACCUCGGUACUCUGAUGGUACUCAAAACCAAUAUGUCCCAAACUAGCACAGUUCAGCAGGUGCUAAAGAAAUAUUUUUGAUACAAAAAAAUUAGCUGGGCAUGGUGGCGGGCCCCUGUAAUCCCAGCUACUCCGGAGGUUGAGGCAGGAGAAUCGCUUGAACCUGGGAGGUGGAAGUUGCAUUGAGCUGAGAUGGCGCCACUGCACUCCAGCCUGGACGACAAGAGUGAAACUCUGUCUCAAACAAACAAACAAAAAACGAAAUAUUUUUGAAAGAUAAAUGAAUAAAUGGCUCAUCUGUCCUGCCCCAAAUCCAAUUGCUAAGAAUUUCCUUUAUUAGUGAAUGGCACUAAUGUUUGCCAGCUAGAAACCUCUAAGUUGAUGAUUCUUCCCUCUGAUACUCUGCAUAUCUCAUCAAUCACCAUAUCAAGCUCAUCAAGCUUACAAUUCCCUGAAAUAAAAAGCACACACUGUCUAGUUUGCCUGAAAUGGGAAGGCCUGGUGCUUCCCCACCACAUGGCUUGAGCAGCAAUCUUCCCCACCUCCCCCAGGCAGCUUGAAUUCCUCCCUCUGUUAAAAUUCUCACGAGCUUCUAUGGUCAUUAUCUUAUGUCUCCCCAGCCUGAUUAAAACCCCUCAACCAGAAGCCCUGUCUUAUUCACCUGUAAAUACCCAGUGCUCGGUCUCCAGCCUGUUGAGACAUGGUGGAUGACGAGGACACGCUGACGAAAGCAAUGAAAGGACACUGUGCCGGCCGAGGGGAGGGCGAUGGGGCCACCAAGCGCAGUCUCUGCCGUCUCUGGCUGAACCUAGUCUGAGACGCAGCCAACAAGGCCUCGGAGAAGCGCUGAGUUCAGGGAUGGCACAAAGCAGACGCAGGAGCAGCUGGCUGGAAGUGGAGGGCCUGAGGUGGGCAAUGUCUGUUGUAAUCCACGGCAAGUCUUUUUUUAGAAGCAGAUGAGUGCCCCUUUGAAAGAAAUUGGCACCGGAAUUAUGAUACUUAGGUGAGCUCUGUCCUUGACGUAUUCAUCGUAUUCCGUCCUCAUCAGCAAGGUGGAGGUGCAACUUCAGGAAUGGAGUGACCAGCUAUGGAAACAGAAGCAGCUGCAAGUCUUCUCUCUUCCCUGGCCAUGGAAUGCACCUUACAGGAUGCAGGGAAAGCUCCAGAUGGCGUGGAGAACAGCACCUGGGGGGGCCGCAGUCUUGCCUCUGAGAGGAAGACAACUGGCACCCCACAAACACUGGUGGAUGGGUCCCAGGAGGAAUCAAUGGCCCUGCCUGGAGUCGUCCUGUGUCCUGAAUUCUGUGUGCAUGCGCUGUCCUCCUCAUCAGCAUCACUAAAGAAGUCCCUUGCUGAAAGUCAGGGUGCCAUGAUACAGCUCCACUCAUGCUUGAAUGUUUCUGUUUUAUCGUCCAGGACUGGAGAGGUCUGCAAUAAAUGGGGCAUAUGAUAAUUCGGACAUUCCUGGCACCGAGCAAGUUCAGGAAGCAGGCGAGGGGGCGAUAGGGCACCGUGAGCCUCUCCACCCUGUGGCAUCUGCAAGCCUUGCUCCAGUCCUCAGCAGUACCCCGGGUGCCUUGCACCUCUUUAAAGCAUGGGGCUCGUGGGCAAGUCAGCAGAUGCAGAAUUCUAGUGUCUUUAAUUAACUGUUCAGUAGACCCUGAGCCCCAGAACAUUUUCCUUUGCGCACAGACAACAUCUAGGGGAGGAUUCCAGAUUGAAGGAUUUACAGCGACAUAACAACCAAGUGUAAUAAAUGGAACUGGAUUAAAUCUUGGAAGGAAAAAGAUCUAUAAAGGACACUUCUAAACAACUGGGGAAAUUCACAUAUAAACUGCCUAUUAGAUUAUUAUAAUUUAUGCUAAUUGUCUUAGGUGAGACAACAGUAUUGUGAUUGUUUUGGAGAAUAUUUUUUUCUUUAGAGAUGCAUGAGAAAAUAUUUAGGGGUGAAGUGACAUGACUUCUGUAACUUUCAAAUUGUUCUUUAGGAAGAAAAGUUAGAUGGAGAUAAAGCGAAAAUGUAAACAAUGUGUGAAUAUAGCUAAGGGGGCUAUUGAUAUUCAUCGUGAUUAUUUUAGCUUCUCAAUAGGAUUAAAAGUUUUCAAAAUAAAAUUCAGGAGGAAAAGAUUCAAUUCCUCUUGGUGAAAUAUUUUAUCGGUACCAUAUCUUUGGGCUGCAGUCUCUUGCAUGAUGUAAAGUACUUUAAAAUGAAAGCAUUUUUGAAAUAGCACAACAAUCCUCUUUCUUUUAUGGAAUUAUAGUCAUAGGUGAUAGUUUCUUUGUAUUAAUAUCCAAAAUAAAAACGUGUGAACCCCACGUUGUUACUGCUGCUGCUUCCUCCUCCUCUUCCUCUUUCUCCUCCUCCUUCUUCUAAACAUGUUUCUGGUCUAGGAAUCUGGAUGUCUAGAGGGUGCUGCUCCAGUGGUUGGCUUGUGCUAUUCAGGG
rnacentral:lncRNA from 10 species